AGUUGGUGGUUUCCAAGGUUUCACAAUCUUCUGUGUGAUUAUGGUAAAUGAAGCUAUAAAUAUUUAAUUACCCAUAUAUAGAUAUGCUUCUAAUUUAAGCUUAAUUAUGUGCUUUAAGGUUAAUAUUAUGUGUAAUUGUUGGAUUUUUUUUUUGUAUACAGUGUUUGAGAUCAAUGUUGAUUAUUGUUAGUUUUGUUUGACCUCAAAAUAGAAUCAUUAUUAAUUUUGUUUGACCUCUAAAAUAUGUGUUCUUUUUUGGGUAAUUAGCUAGUCGUUACUGUGUUCUAUGCUAAUUGUUUAGGGUUUAGCUAAACCAUUGUGUGAAUCUUGAUCCAAUUUGUUAGUUAGUUAGUUGUUCUAUGUUCUAUGUAUGUGCAUGCACAAAAUUCUUAGCUGCUGAAUUUAGUGAUAUCCUUUGCUAAUAAAGUAGUAUUUGUGUUGUCAAAGGUUGAUCAUUGAUUUAUUAAUUUGCUAUUCCUUUAGUUUUAGCUUAAACGGUGCGAAUCUUGAUCUGACUUGUUAGGAUAGCCUACUGGUUUGAUUUUUAUUCGAAAAUUGUAACAGGAACGAUUAUGGAAUCACAGACACGCACAAUUGUUAGCUAUCUAAUUAUAUGAUAGAUGAAUAAUUGUUGAAAUGUGAACGUGAAUGCUCACUGAAGGGGUAGAAUUCAAUAAUUUUGGAAGAACAAAAUGAUUGGAGU
rnacentral:misc_RNA from 1 species